CCCAAUAGCCACUGCCACCGCCAUCGCCACCGCCACCUCCUUCACCCCAAACCCUAACUCAUCCUAACCCCGCCUUUACCUCUCGCAAGCAUCACCCCGACCCCGCCUCUGCCUUUCGCAAGCGUUGCUUCUUUUCAAUUCACAGUUCGUGUCGUUUCACUCAUCUCAAGUUAGCUAGUUGCGUUAUUCCACUUUCUUAUUCAAUAUGGCAUCUUGGGUCUUUAUUAAUUCGAUUUGAGAUUUGUUUUGCGAACCCUAAAGCUCAUUUGUCGAGGGGGGUUUGGGUCGUUUUGGUUUCCUCUGUUCUGAAUGAUGAAUAAUUUUGUGUGUUUACUCAUCACCAUGAAGCCGUGCUUUGGCCUCCCGAUGGCUUGCCCUCAUUGCUUGCCCGUCUUCAUCUACCUCAAGCUCGCGAAGAUUCUCGAGGUACCUCGGUUUCCUUCUCAUUUGAUUUUCUCGUUGGCAAUGCUUGCUUGCUCAUUGGUUUUCCCCGCCUUUUUUUUUUCUUGUAAUGGAUGAACGAGUCGGAGGGGCACUGGUUGGAGAGAAAAGUCCUUAUUUUUAGCCAUCAAUGUCGUAUUCCUAUGAAAAUUGGGUACGAUGAUGGAAUUCAUUCGAUGAGUAGGGGUAAAGCCAGUUAAUGCCCAGCUUGAUAGCCAAGUGGCUACAAAUGUGUUCUUCGAGUUUUUUGCAUUGAUCAAAAGGUUCGCUAGAUUUGUGAUUUCAAUACCCCUUUUUUUUAGUUUUUGGCUGGAUGUUGCUCGACCAAAUCUGUUUUAGGAGCGAAUUUAGCAUUUAUAGAGUAACUAGGAAAUCGGGUUCGCCCCCCUUCUCUCUCUCAACUUCAGCGAUUUGAAGUGCCCUGCUUUUUGAAUUUGCCUGCUCUGGUUUGGCUCCUGGUGGUAUUUUGUUUCUCUUCCAUUGAAGCUGUUAUGGUUCAUUGAACGCGUAAUCAUUUGUAAACAUAGGAAGGACGAUGAAGAUAAUGUGAGGAUACACUACGAUGUCUUUGAAGAUUUUCUAGUUUCUUCGUCUUGUCUAUUUGCCAACUAAGACAGUUGUUGAUUUUAUGGCUAAAAGCUCUUACUAAGAAUCCAAGUCAUAUGCUUAUUAAGUAUACUCACACCAAUUUAUUUGCUUGUCUAAGUGUGGAGAGAACCCCUUUUGUUUGUUUGGUUAAGAAACUUGCAAUUUUUUUUUCUUUCACAAGGGAUCUUCAUCUUUAUAGUUGAAGAUCGUAAAAUCGGAGUUCAAUUUGUUAAUAUGUUAUUGGGUCGUUGAUUUCUGCUGAUAAUUUGUUUUUAUGGAUGUGCCUAUGAUGAUAUAUAUUUAUUUUUGCUUUUUUGUCAUUACAUUUACCUAUAGUAUAUAUUAAAUUUAAAGUUCUUGUAACGAUAUUUUUUGUAGAAUAUCUUCAAGUAUGGCUAGUAGCACCUACAUCUAACAAUGAAAUUGUAAAACAACUAUUUAUGGAGAUAUGUUACUAAGUUAAUCAUAGCAAUGUGGGGGAAACUUGUCUUGGAAAUAUCAUUUUUGUCAAAAAUAUUUUAAGAGUGAGAAGCCAUUUGUUGAUAAUAAAUGGAAAAGGAAUAUUAAAAUGCACAGAAUUAGAAAAAAAAAAGGAACUUUUAAAGAUAGAAAGAUUAUAGGAAGAGAUCAAUACUAAAUUAAUGAAUAUUGCGCUUAUAAAUGUACUUUUGCCCAUUUCUAGUUUUUUAAUUAGUGGCGGUGGUGGUAGAAUAGAUUAAAUUUUUAACUCCAAAAAAAAGGAAGAUUGGAAGUGGAAGUGGCAAAGCACUUGAAAAUGCAUUCAAUAUGACUCAACGAAAACAUUUAGAUUGUGAAAUUAUUCGAAUAUUCUAUUCGGCGAGCUUGUUGUUUAAUCUUGCAAAGAACCGUUAUUUUCAAUCUACUUUCACUCAUGCCACUAAUCAUAAUAUUGAGAGGUAUGUACCACUGAAAUAUAAUUUGUCGAGAACCACUUUGCUGCAAAAAUAGAGGCAAAUAUUAAUAAGUUUUGUGUACCUAUUAGAAGCAUGUAGAGGGAGAAUGGUGUAAGUAUUGUCAAUGAUGGAUAAAAUGACUCAUAAAGGAGACCGCUUAUUAAUUUUAUGGUGGUGUCGGAUGAAUAACCAACGUUUAUAGAAUCGGGUGAUUGUUCGAGAGAAACAAAUAAUAUGCAUUUCAUUUUCAACUUAUUGAAAGAAUUUAUUAAUGAAAUUGGGCAUGAUAAUGUGAUCCAAGUAAUUACAGAUAAUAAUUCAAAUUGUAAGGGUGCAAGAAAACUCAUUGAGUAAGAAUUUUCAUCCAUUAUUUGAACGCCUUGUGUGGCACAUAACCUUAAUCUAGCUUUGAAGAACAUAUGUAUCGCAAAAAUUUGGAGACCAAUCAAGUAGCUUGUGAGGAAUGUAGUUGGAUUUCGGAUAUUAUUAAAGAAGUUAUGCAAAUCAAACAUUUUAUUAUAAACCAUUCCAUAAGAUUAGCAAUAUACGAUAAGUUUAUUAGCUUGAAGUUGCUUUUCAUAAUGGAUGCAUAUUUUGUUUUGAUAAUUGUGAUGCUUAGGAGAUUCAAGUUAAUAAAAAGUAGUCUUCAAAAUACGGUGUAACAAAUGAAAUAUCUAUUGAGAUGAUAAUCAAGGGAGUUUGUCAAGGACAAUGUGUUGGAUGAUUUUGGUAGGAUUUGAUUAUAUACUUUCUUUCACAGCUUCUAUUUAUGGUAUGCUUAGAAUUUGUGACACCGACUAGUCUUGUCUUCACUUAGUUUAUGAGAUGUGGGAUUCAAUGAUUGACAAAAUGAGCAAAGCUAUAUAUACACAUGAAAUGAAAAGGUUAGAUGAAGAGUCCACAUUUUAGAGGUGGUUCAUAUAAUUCAUGUGGAUCAUUGAACAAAGAACAACACUCCACUUCAUUGCUUGGCACAUGCCUUAAAUCCUAGGUAAUUUCUAAAAUUGAAUGAGAAUAAGAUAAUAUUACUUUAUUAGUUAUUCUUUUUUUGACAUGAUAACAUAAUACUCAUCUUAAUUACUAUAGUUUUCUAUUUUUAUUUUAUUAAAUAAGGUACUAUGGUGAUCAAUGGCUCAAUGAACAUCCUACCCGAGUUUCUCCGUACAAGAAUGAGGAGAUCAAUCAAGAAAGACUAAAAUUCUUUAGGAAAUACUUUUCUAACUUGGAUCAACACAAUAAGGUGAAUUUGGAGUAUGUAGAUUUUAUGAGUAAAAAUGUGAAUUUUAGAGAUUUUGUUUCCUUCAAAAUCGGUAUUCUAUAAAUCCUAAGGUUUGGUGGGUUAAUCAUGAUAUAUGUGCACCUAUAUUUCAAAGUAUAGCCUUAAAGCUUCUUGCAUAACCUUCUUCUUCAUCAUGUGCUUAGAAAAAUUGAAGUACUUGCUCCUUGUGCACUUUUAAGAAGAAAUAAGAUGAUCCCAAAAUGUGUAGAAGAUCCGGUUCUCAUUCACAGCAACCUUAGUCUUCUAUCAAGAAAAAACUCACAAUAUGCAAAAGGAGAGGCCAAGAUGUGAGAUAUUGGCGGAGAUGCAUUUGACACGUUUGAAGAUAUUAGAGUGCUUUAAGUUGCAAGUCUUUCACUUAAUGAGCUAGAAAUGGAGUUUGUUGUUUUUUUAGAAGAAGUGAAUAAUAUAGAUGAAUGACUUCUUGUUAUAUUUAAUGGUGAAAUAUAGAUUUUUUUGCUUAUUGCAAAAUAUUAAAGUUAAUAGUGGAAUGUGGAUCUUUUUUUUCCCUCCAAAUUUUAUGGAUUAUUGCAAUGGAAUGUAGUUAAAUUUGUCAAAUUGAAACAAUGUAUGAUAUUAUUUUACAAAAAAAAAAA
rnacentral:lncRNA from 1 species